rnacentral:lncRNA from 1 species
AAAUAUUAAGUUUCGCUGGAUAAAAUAUUUAUUGAAUAAAAUAUAAGUUUAAACGCUAAUGUGAACCUUCAAUUGCAUUGUGUGUUUUAUUUGAGUUAAUUUUAGUUUAUAUUUAUAUAGAGAGCUAGGCUCCUAUACUUUCAAAAGUACGGAGGCCUCCGUACUUGUAAGUUGUUUUCACUGAUGGGACGUCCGAUACGGCGAUCGGUUCCGUUAAACAUGAUCUACGCUAUUGGAACUAUCUAGAAACCAAAUUUUAUAAUUUUUUGACUUCGUUUGCCUAGUGAACGAGUAGCCUCAAAAUGAAUGGCUGAAAGUAAAAAUCUCAUUAAAAACAGUGAUAAAUGACUCAAAUUUCAAAUCGGAAGUAUUGUUUUUGCUCUUGAUGUUAAGUAGAAUUUUCUAUUAAAGUUUCAUAUAAUUUGGAUACUUCUACACCGUUGAACUUAAAAACGUGCCACAUCGGCCAUUAAAAUAGUCAUUUUUGAGACCCAGUAAUCGCUUGGUAAAUGAUAUCGGAAAAUUAUAGAAUUUGGUUUCUAGAUAGUUCCAAUAGCAUAGAUUAUGCCUAAUGGAGCCGAUCGUCGAAUUGGAUGUCCUAUCAUCAAAAACAACUUACAAGUACGUAGACCUCCAUACUUUCGAAAGUACGGGAGACGUACUCUAUAUAUAUAUAUAUAUAUAUAGAAUGAGGCUAGUAUGCUUUUGAAAGCUCGAAGCCCUCCGUAUUUCCAAGUCGUUUUCAUUAUUGGGAAUUGCGAAUCAACGAUUAGCUCCGUUAGAUUUGAUCUAGGUUUAUUGAAGUAUCUAGAAAUAAAUUUUGCAAUUUUUUGAUAUCAUUUGCCUAGGGAUCGAAGGGGCUCAAAAUUUUAAUGGUUGUGGUGAGCCGUUUGCAAGUUUAACAGUGUAGAAAUAUCCAAAUCAUGUAAAAUUUUGAUAAAAAAUUUUUUAUACUAUAUAAAAUGCGAUCAAUAUCUUUGGUCUAAAAUUUUAAUAUCAUAUCAUCACAUUUUGUAAGAUUUUUAUUUUCAGCCGUCGAUUUUGAGCACCUUCGAUCACUAGGCAGAUAUCGAAAAAUCGUAAAAUUUAUUUUCUAGGUACUUUAAAUACUCUAGAUCAAGUCUAACGGAGCCGAUCGUCGAUUCGAAAGUCUCAACAUCGAAACCGACUUAUAAGUACGAAAGGCUCUGUGCUUACAAAAGCAUACCGGCCAUUCUCUCUGUCUGUCUCUCUCUCUCUCUCUCGCUCUCUCUCUCUCUAUAGAGUCCGGCUGGGGUACUAUCGAUAGCACUAAGGGCUUGGUGCUAUCGAGUUUUUCACCGUUAGAUUUAACCCUUCAAUUAUUUUUACCCGUUAGAUUAUACUAUUCAACCAACCACUCACUCAACCCUAAGGGGCCCACAUCAUCCUAACCACCCAUUUAUCAAUCCAAGGGAUAAAAAAUCAAUAGCACCAAUAACUUCAUGCUAUUGAUAGUAUUCCAGCCCACAUCAUCCUAGCUUUCGACUUCUCGCCGUGGUCAUAGUUAGUAAAUUCGCGAUUAAUAUGCGAAUUAUUCGCGUAUUUUUCAAAAUGCGAAUUAAACGACGAAUUUCGUAUUUUUCCAAAAAAUUCGAAAAAAUACGCGGUGUUUUCAUCAAAAAUCAUUAUUUGCGAAUUAUUCGCGAUUCGCGAAUAAUUCGCCCAAAAAAUCGCGAUCGCGCGGUCGCGGACUUGCUGCCAAGGGUCGCGUCGUCGCCGCUUGUCCCCGCUCGCGUCGUCGCCGCUCGUCGCCGCUCGCAUCGUCGCCGCUCUCGUCGAUGCCGCUAGGGUCGUCGUCGUCCUCCGCCGCCCUUGCCGUCGCCGGGAGCGAGGGCCGCGGCGGCGGAUCUAUGUCCUCGCCCGAGGCUGGCUCCAGAAAAGUGGAAGAUGAACAGUAGGAUUCAUCGGAGCUUUUGGGAAUUGGGAGGUGCACAGUGGACCUCCCUCUCAUAUAUAUAUAUAUAUAUAUAUAUAUAAAAAUUUUUUUUUUAUAAAUAUAUAUUCAUUUAUUAUAUAUUUUAUUUUAUUUUUAUAUAGAAAUAUUUAUAUAAUAUUUUAUUUAUAAAUUUGUAAUUAUUUAUUAUUAUUUUUAAAUAUAUAAAUUUUAUUUAUUAUAUAGCCGGAUUUUUUUUUCCGAAUUUUUAAUUGGUUAACGUAUAAUAUCCGUAUAAAUCACGUAUCCAAAUAAUUACUAAACCCGUUUUUUAGCCGUAUUUUUCAAUGAAUUUAAAAAUUAAAAAACGAAUUUUAUCCGAAUUAUAGCCGUAUCGAAUUUUUACCAAAUCCGAAUUAACUAACUAUAGCCGUGGUUGGAUUAGCUUUUCGAGGUGGGUCAAAGUGAUGCUUACCGGAUUUUGCGGAUUUCCUCCUAAGUUCUAUUGUUAGCAUGUAUUCGUGGAUAUUGUCAUGUUUCAUUGUUCAAUUCAUCGAUUUAUUAUGUUUCUAAAAUCUGAAUUGGAGCUUAGAAUAUUAGUUAAAUAAUAUAUGUUAAACUUGGAUUUGACUUAGGAGAAAACUGGCGCUUCUACACUGUCAUAUGUUAAAACUACCAGAUUUUGUUUUAGGAGUCGUAAUUUGUUUGUAUCGCCGCAGUUUGUGGGCGAUGGAUACCCAGAAUAGUGUAGAAUAAUAUUACGCUCGUGCUGGGACGCUGAGCUUAUUUUUACAGUAUUGUUCAGACUUUUUCAGAUUGUCGGGUGCCGUUGGGGUUGACGGUGGACCCAGAUUAUAAUUUUUGUAUCAGCUUGUGCCGAGAGCACGUGUCUUUUGGUUGUUAGACCAAUUAGAUACUGUUUAUUUGACUAUAGCCUGUGAGAGCCGGAUUGAGCUCGACAGAGACACGCUUGCAUACUCGGUUGGGUAGCGCCCGCGAGUGCCACUCUGGAGUCGGGCUUUGUGCUUUUGCGUUGGUGUCGUUUUGUCCUGGUUGGACUUGCUCUCCACUGACGAUCUGGUUUGGUGUUAGAUAGUAUAGCUUCGACAGGUGGGAUGGGUAUGUUCACAGUCCUAAUGAGAUUAGGUCAGAUUGUACUUUUCUACAGAUAGUGGGUGCUAGACUGAGUUAGUAUAGGUGCAUAUAGCUGUAGAUUUAUUCCAGCUUUCUUACUAUACUUGUUUACAUCUGUAGACUUAGUGGGUGAGCCGUUGAGGUAGGUAGCGGUACCCACUGAGGACUAUUUCUUUUGCAGUAGUUCUCAUGCCCAGUUGUUGGAAUCUUUUGCAGAGCUUUCUCCUUCGGCGGCUGCUGCUGCUGCUGCUGAGUCUAAUCGUGGAAAGGGUGUUGCGAGUUAGAGCCAUUCCUAACAAGUUGCAGAGCUAGAGGAGUACCAGCUAUAGGUAGUUAUAGUUUUUGGGUUUGUAUACAUACUGAUGUUGUUUCUCGCUGGAGCGAGUAUUUUGGUUACCUAGAUUCUUUGUAUGUAUAGUUAACCCCUGUUGUUUAUAUAUAUAUUUCAUUUCUUCUAGUAGCUCUAUACUACUAGUUGUAGUAUUGUAUGAUUACAGAUAUAGUUAUCGCUUUGUAUACAGAAAAAAUUUCUUUGUAUACGGCGGAUUUAUCGGCGUGCCCGGAGAAACGAGAAAUCCGGGUCGUGACAUGAAUGACGGUUGGAGUGUAUUAGAAAAAGAGAAAUUCUCUAUUUUACUUCUCAAAACCUUUGGAAGGAAAAUUUUUCGUGAAAUAUGAAAAAUAAUUUAUCAAAAAAUCUAUUUUUUCUACAAAUCAAACACAUGGAAAAAAAAAAUACACCCUAAAAUAAAUUGUGGGAUAUUUUUCAACGAACCAAGUAGGUUCUAAGGUUUAUUAAUGAAAUUUGAGAUUUAUAAGGAUAUUUGACAGUUUCAUGAUAAAUUUAAAAAUUUUAAAUAGUACAGUAGUAAAGAAUAAAUAAGCAAAAGUCUAAAAAUUAUGACAACCGGUGAAAUGAAUAUGCCAAAAACGUUAUUCUAAACUGAAACCAAUCGUUCUUAACGUAAGCGGCAUAGAAUUUGAGGGCCGGUGCCGGCGUCUCAGGUUGGAGCUAACUAAAGCUGUUCUUAACUAUAUUAUUGUCCGGAAGGAAAUUUGACUGUGCAGACAGCAGUACUGGCUGCAAAUCUUCUCGCGGAUGGGCUGACUGCCGGAGUCAAAGAAAGGCGUCGCCGCCGUCCGAAGUCCUGACUGUCGACAAUCCAACUCCGCGACACGGAAAAACGCGCGUGCUUCUUAAUUUCCAAUUGCAAUCGCUUACGUGUUCUUCUUGUUCCGCCCCGUAGAACAUGCCAACAUCAGUUUACUUAAUUUGUAUUCUAGCUAUAAAUAAAGUUUCGUUACGCUAAGCAAUAAGUCGAAUAUUAUCGAUUAAUUUGUCUUUUUAUCUUGAGAAGUACCUCGCCGUUGAUCUCAGGUAUUAAUUGGUGCAUUUAUUUGAUUAUGUUGUAAGGUGUAAUGUCAUUUAGUGAAAUAUAUAUAUACCAUUGGAAUAAAACUGUAGGGUUGUAUAAUGAUUUUUUGAUUUUUUUUUUUUUUUGAGAGAUAGGUAGCACGCUACCUGUUUCGUUUAUUUCAUUUAGAAAUAAACUUAGCUGGAAAUGUGAAUCAACUAGUAAUUAAGGAGUAGAUCCACUCUUUCUCUCUCUUUCUAGCUCAACUCUCUCUCUCUCUCUCUCUCUCUCUCUCUAUAUAUAUAUAUAUAUAUAUAUAGGCGCCACACUGUUACAGAUACGGACAAAAGAUAUGAAACCCGAAGACAUGACAUGAUUUGGACAUGGCGACUUGACUCGGCAGCUUUAAAAAAAAUCAAAACAGGAAUACGACUGUACACCGCUAUUAAAAAAUAAUAAUAUUAUUAACAUAAUAAUAUAUUUACUAUAUAUAAAAUAUUAAUUUUUAAUAUAAUAUUAUUAUAUUUUUUAUACGAUUGAAAGCUAAUAAAAUUUUUAUUGAUAAUUUAUUUUAAGAAAAAAAAAUUCUUUACUAUACGUAUUUUAUUUAUAUCGGUCAAAAAGAAUGAAUAAAAAACUAAAAUAUUUAAUAUCUUAUAUAAUAUAUGCAUGAAAUUAGGAAAGUAAAAUGUGUUUUUUUAAUGGAAUGUGCCAUGAAUGCGCUUUCAUGAUGCGCCCACGUCGAACAAAAGUUCGGUAGGGAUGUGCAUAUGUCUGAUACAGACACGCGAGACUUAUAAUCGUGUCGGUGAUGUAGAUGUAUACUUAAAAAAUUCAAAGAAAAUUCUUUUGUCGUAAAAUAGAGAUGACAGAAUGGAUGCUUGAACAAGUAAUCUAAUAAUAACUUGUUUGCUAGGAAGAUUUCUUUCAUUUUUUCUCUUAAUGAUCAUGUGCCGUGAGAUUAAUUAUAAUAAUCAUAACUUGUUAUGAUAAUAUAUUUUACCUAUAAAAUAAUUUUUUUUUUUAAAAAAAUAGCUUGGCAGUUGGUUGUAGUGUAUAUUUUUGGGCAUUAGUUUGAAUCAUACUGCUCAUCUAACAAAAACUUUUUGAAUAAAAAAAAUAAAAAUGCAAUACUCAUAUUUUCAAACAAGACCCCUAUGCAAUUUACUUUUAAAUAAUAGCCAAGUGCUAUACUUUACAUAAUAUGGGAUUUAAUCAUUAUGAUCAAGCUUUAUAUUAUUAAAUAAUAUAAAAUAAUCAUUAUUUUUUAAAAAAUUUAAGCUGGUAAGUAGAGAAGGGUGUGUUUAAAAAUUUUUAUAUUAACACAUCCAUUCACGUUUGCGCUCGAAAUUUUUCGCCAUUCACGUCUGAACUCGAGACUUAAUUUCUGUUAGGUUCAUGAAGUGAACUUGAAUUAAAGGAAAGAAAAUUAAUAAUACUGAAAAUCUGAAAUAAUUCGAACUCAAAAUCUCUUACUCUAAUAUCAUCAUAUUAAAUAAAUAAUACAAAAGAACCUUAACAACAUUCUCAUCUUGUAGUUUGUAAACUGCACUAUUUAGUUACUACAUUUUCCAAGGGCACAAGCUAACAAAUCGUUACACGUGAAAGACAAUAUAAUAACUUGCAAAUGUGCCAUAUCAUUAGGGCUGGCAAACGAGCGAGCCGGCUCGCGUUCGACUCGUGUUCGGCUCGAUAUUCGGCUCGCUCGAGCUCGACUCGAAAUUAAAUGAGCCGAGCUUGAACAAAAUAAAAGGCUCGAAAUUCAUUUCAAGCCGAGCUUGAGUAUUACUCGGCUCGUUCGAAUUAGGCUCGAAAAGCUCGAAAAGCUCGAAUAUAUAUAUAUAUAUAGAAUUAUGCUACUAUACUAUCAAUUGUACCAAGCUCUUAGUAUUAUUGAGUUUUCGGUCGUUGGAUGAAAAAUGUGCGGUUAGGAUGAUAGUGGUCUCCGAUUAAAUUGAUAGUGGUCCCCCAGGGUUGAGUGGAUGGUUGGUUUAAUAGUAUAAUCUAACGGGAGAAAAUGAUCAAAGGGUAGAUCUAACGGUAGAAAACUCAAUAGUACCAAGGGCUUGGUACUAUCGAUAGUAUAGUAGCCGGACUCUAAAUAUAUAUAUAUAUAUAGGCUACUAUCCUAUCGAUAGCAUGGAGACCUCCGUGCGACCAAGUUGUUUUUAAUGAUGCGGCUUCUGAAUCGAUGAUCAUUUCCAUUAGACUUGAUCUACGCUAUUAGAAAUAUCUAGAAACCAAAUUUUAUAAUUUUUCGACAUUAUUUAUACAUCAAAUGAGUAGUCUAAAAAUGAAUGUCUGAAAAUAAAAAUCUCAUAAAAAUAGUGAUAAAAGACUUAAAUUUCAAAUCGAAAGUUUUGGUCUAGCUCUUUAUGUUAAGUAGAAUUUUUCUACUUUUGAUUACUUAGUAAAUGAUGUUGUAAAAAAUAUGAAAUUUGGUUUGCAAAUAUUUCCAAUAGCGUAGAUCAAGUCUAACGGAACUGACCAUCGAUUCAGAAGCCGCAUCAUUAUACAUCAAAUGAGUAGUCUAAAAGUAAACGGCUGAAAAUAAAAAUCUCCUAAAACAUAGUGAUAAAAGACUUAAAAUUUCAAAUCGAAAGUUUUGAUCUUGCUCUUUAUGUUAAGUAGAAUUUUUCUACUAAGGUUUGACGUAAUUUGGAUUGUUUUACACCGUUGAACUUACAAACGUAUCAGCUCGGCCAUUAAAACUAUCAGUUUUGGAACCCUUUGAUCACUUAGUAAAUAAUGUAAAAAAAAUAUGAAUUUUGGUUCGCAAAUAUUUCCAAUAGCGUAGAUCAAGUCUAAUGAAAUCGGUCGAUUCAGAAGCUGCAUCAUUGAAAACAACUUGGUAGCACAGAGGCCUCCAUGCUAUCAAGUAGCUAGACACACACGAGUUGGAAUGCUAUUAGUAGCAAACGGGCUCCGUAGCCACCUAUUUGUUUUCGACGAACCUAUUUGUUUUCGACGAUGGAGCCUCCAAAUCGACGAUCGACAUUGUUGAACAUGAUCCAUACCACUUGAACAAGAGAACAAUACUUGGAAAAGCAUGCCAUUUGGUUUCUAGAUGCUUUAAGUGAUAUAGAUUAUGUUCAACAGUACCGAUUGUCGAUUUGAGGGCUCCAUCAUCGAAAACAAAUGGAUGGCAACGGAGCUCGUUUGCUACUAAUAGCAUUCUAGCUCAACUCUCUAUAGAUAUAUAUUUUAUAUACAUAUAUAUUAUAUAUAUAUGAGUACAAAGGACUCUAUACUCAUAAGAGUAUAGAAGCCCUAUUCGAAUAUAAAGUCCAGCUACUAUACUCUCAUGAGUACGAUUGGCUUCGUACUCAUNUCGAAAUUAGGCUCGCUCGAGCUCGGCUCGAAUUAAUUUCAAGCCGAGCUUGAGCCUAGAUUUAGGCUCGAAAUUAAUUUCAAGCCGAAUUUGAGCCGACAUAAGCUCGCUCGAGCUCGGCUCGUUUCCACCCCUACAUAUCAUAAUGAAGUUUUUUUUGUUAAAAUAUCAUAUAGGAAAAGUUUCAAAUACCACCCCCGUGGUUUCAUACUUUUUCACUUUAGUAUCCUAUGAUUUAAAGUGUAUUAGUUAAUUUGGUACCCUGUGGUUUCACACUUUCUCACUUUAGUACCCUGUGGUUUAAAGUGCAUCAAUAACAUAUCUGAAGUUUUUUAGUAUAUAGGUUUAUCGAAUAUUACUUUAGUAUUCUUUAGUUUUAACUUUGUCACUGAUUUUUUCUUUCUUUCUUAAUAUUUCGUUAAAUUAUAUACUAAAAAACUUCAGAUAUGUUAUUUAGGUUUAUCGAAUAUUCACUUUAGUAUCCUUUAAUUUUAACUUUGUUACUGAUUUAACGAAAAAAAUCAGUAAAAUAGAUAAUAAAAAGAAAAAAAUAAAACCACAAGGUACUAACUUGAUACUCUUUAAACCACAGGGUACUAAAGUGAAAAAGUGCGAAAUCACGUGGGCUAACUUGAUGUACUUUAAACUAUAGAGUACUAAUUAAAAUGAAAAAAAUGUGAAACCACGAGGGAUAUUCGAAGUUUACCCUAUAUAUCUCAUACGUAAAAAGCCUUCUUUCUCUCUCUCCUCUUUUCCACGUGCCUUUUUCUCUCUCUAACUUUCUCAGGUCAUCGUUCACGUCUCUCUUUUCCUCUCUAACCUCGUCAGGUCAUCGCUCUCUUUCUCACUUGCCAACAGGUUCGGAUUUUUUUUUCUUUUUUCUUUACUUUAGUUUGAUUUUACCCUGUAGAAAGUCAUUUUCCAACUUAUUUUCCAUUUAGUAGAUAAAACGUUUUCCAUGUGAUUCCAGGAGAGGAGCACGAUCAAGAAUAACCUCUGGGUGCUUGCUUUUUUCCGCCGUUUUUUCUCCUAAUUUGUUCUUUACUAAUUACAUGCUUUCAGCGUUUGAUUAGAGGAUAGGGAUAAGAAUAGGUCCUUAUUCCCACCUUUAUAUCCAAACGUUAAUUUUUUAUCCGAGAAUAGUAGUUCUUGGUUAUUCCCACCAACAUCUCCAUUUUCUAUAUCAAACUAUCUAAAAUUAUUCUUAUCCCCCGGAACAACCCAAUUUUCAUCCAAACACUAUUUUUUUUAUUCCCAUACUUGUAUCUAUCCCUGUAAUAGCUAGUUCUUACUUAUACCUGAACCAAACGGUACCUAAUUAAAGUUUAGCACAUGCUAUAGAAAGAACGUAUUCACCGCACUUAAUGGCUCAGUCAUAAUGUUCGCGAGUUUCGACCUGACUCAAUUCAUAUGGACAUUGAGUUUAUUAUUGGGUCUUUUGCCGUUAGGUCUCUUGUGAACCAUACCUCCACCAAACUUAUCAGGCUCAUCCAAUUCAACUUAUUAGUCUUCUGGGCUUAUUGUUACGGGACAGAAAGUUGGACCUAUUUACCUGCAUUGUUAAUGCAACAUAUGAGAAUCGAAUCUGCGCCAUUGGCUUUGAUACUAUUUGUGGAUCGUAAAUACUAACCAGCUAUCCCAAAAGUACGUGCUGAUAAGAAGAGCGUAUUCAUCGCACUUAAGGACUCAACCACAGCACUCACAGGUUUCAAUCUGAUUCAACCCAUCUGAAUGUUGAGUCUAUUAAUUGUUGGGUCUACUGCCGUUAGGUCUCUUGUGGACCACACCUCCACUCAACUUCUUAGCCUCACUCAACUCAACUUAGUAGUCUUCUAGAUUUAUUGUCACGGGACAAGAAGUUGGGCCUAUUUUAGCCCAAUAAUAAAUAGCCAACAACCUUCACCUUUUCCAUUUAUAUGUGGGAUUGUACUCUAUAUUUUAUUUUCAUAACUGUAAACUGCUUAUUUACAUGAACAACCUAAGAGCGCGUUUUGGUUGGCUUAUCAUGCGAGUAUUACGGACUGUCCUAUCAGGAUUACUGUAUUUAGUUCAUCCAGUAUUUAACCUAAUCGGUGACAUAGCUUUGCAAAUAGUGCAAUAUUACUUUGAAAGUGUUAGAACAAAUACCGCAACGAAAAUCUGAUUGUGAUUUAAGUCUAACUAAAUUUUAUUAUAAAUACAACUUACAGAUAAUUGCUAUAUCCAAAUAAAUACUUAAUUGAUCCGGAAGCAUGCGAGGCACUGCCCUAAGGCGUAUUCCCGUCCUUACGUACGGGAUUAACCGGGAACAACACCCCAAGGUACGACCGGAAUUCCUCCUCCUGCGAGCACGAUCGUGAAGAAGGUUGACGAAGACUCUUUCAACACCCGAUGACAUAAAGAUCAAAGCCAAAUAGAUAAAAAUAAUAAAUAGAAAAAUAUAUGUCCUCCAAUAUUUCUCUUUUCAAUGUUCAUGUCAUGAAUAGUAGAAAGAGUACUAUAUAAAAGGGUGUGAAUAGAACAUUGGAUACUCCAAUAUUCUACUCCAAUAAUUAAUUCCAUUUAAUUCAUGCUUUAAUGUGAAAUAAAGAAGAAAUAAAUUAAAUUUAAUCCAUCCAAUUAAUUAACAUAAUAAAAAACAAUAAAUGAGAAUAAUUAUAAAACUAAAUGAGAUUUAGAGAUUUUGGAUUUUACACCAACAGAAAGCAUUAUCUUCUGAGUAUAUCGAAAUGUUAGACAUCUGGCUAUAUUGAAAUAAUCUUACAAUGUUAUAUAAUAAUAAUAAUAAUAAUAAUC